AAAGGGUGCCUGCGGUACUAGCUGUCGUCUAUGAGUUCUUUACGGGGUGGAUUAUUGGCUAACGGGUGAGUAACACGUGGGCAAUCUGCCCUUCACUCUGGGACAAGCCCUGGAAACGGGGUCUAUUACCGGAUAACACUCUGUCCCGCAUGGGACGGGGUUGAAAGCUCCGGCGGUGAAGGAUGAGCCCGCGGCCUAUCAGCUUGUUGGUGGGGUGAUGGCCUACCAAGGCGACCACGGGUAGCCGGCCUGACAGGGCGACCGGCCACACUGGGACUGACACACGGCCCAUACUCCUACGGGAGGCAGCAGUGGGGAAUAUUGCCCAAUGGGCGAAAGCCUGAUGCAGCGACGCCGCGUGAGGGAUGACGGCCUUCGGGUUGUAAACCUCUUUCAUCAGGGAAAAAGCAAGAGUGACGGUACCUGCAGAAGAAGCGCCGGCUAACUACUUGCCAGCAGCCGCGGUAAUACGUAGGGCGCAAGCGUUGUCCGGAAUUAUUGGGCGUAAAGAGCUCGUAGGCGGCUUGUUGCGUCGGUUGUGAAAGCCCGGGGCUUAACCCCGGGUCUGCAGUCGAUACGGGCAGGCUAGAGUGUGGUAGGGGAGAUCGGAAUUCCUGGUGUAGCGGUGAAAUGCGCAGAUAUCAGGAGGAACACCGGUGGCGAAGGCGGAUCUCUGGGCCAUUACUGACGCUGAGGAGCGAAAGCGUGGGGAGCGAACAGGAUUAGAUACCCUGGUAGUCCACGCCGUAAACGUUGGGAACUAGGUGUUGGCGACAUUCCACGUCGUCGGUGCCGCAGCUAACGCAUUAAGUUCCCCGCCUGGGGAGUACGGCCGCAAGGCUAAAACUCAAAGGAAUUGACGGGGGCCCGCACAAGCAGCGGAGCAUGUGGCUUAAUUCGACGCAACGCGAAGAACCUUACCAAGGCUUGACAUACACCGGAAAGCAUCAGAGAUGGUGCCCCCCUUGUGGUCGGUGUACAGGUGGUGCAUGGCUGUCGUCAGCUCGUGUCGUGAGAUGUUGGGUUAAGUCCCGCAACGAGCGCAACCCUUGUUCUGUGUUGCCAGCAUGCCCUUCGGGGUGAUGGGGACUCACAGGAGACUGCCGGGGUCAACUCGGAGGAAGGUGGGGACGACGUCAAGUCAUCAUGCCCCUUAUGUCUUGGGCUGCACACGUGCUACAAUGGCCGGUACAAUGAGCUGCGAUGCCGUGAGGCGGAGCGAAUCUCAAAAAGCCGGUCUCAGUUCGGAUUGGGGUCUGCAACUCGACCCCAUGAAGUCGGAGUUGCUAGUAAUCGCAGAUCAGCAUUGCUGCGGUGAAUACGUUCCCGGGCCUUGUACACACCGCCCGUCACGUCACGAAAGUCGGUAACACCCGAAGCCGGUGGUCCAACCCCUUGUGGGAGGGAGCCGAUAGAGGGAAG
rnacentral:rRNA from 1 species